AUUAAAUUCAAAAAUCACGAUAACCCUUUGAUUCAGAUUAAGUUUUCAGUACUUAUACAGAGAGAUCUCAACCGGUGUACAGUUCAUCAAUUUUGCUUAAGUGUGAAUCUGGUGGUGUCUUUUAUUCAAUUCAAAGAAGAAGAAGUUUCUUUCCAUAAACAAGUUAUAAUCUUCUGGUUCUUGGAGUUUAUUUCGCAGGUAAAUGUUACUAGACAUCUAUAGAUCAUUCUCGUGGACUGUGGUUGAGUACGCUUGUUCUGAUUGCAACAUGCCUGCUAUGACAAAGAGUUUUGAGCACCACAAUUUUGGGCACAUAUUUGACAAGCUUACCGAAGAAAUUGGAAGUCCAGUCGAAUUUGAACUGCCAGACUGGGUAAAGGAUCAGAAUCCUAAUACCUACACCUUCAUAAGACGCAGUAUCCAUAUAGUAGUUGAAUAAAUUAAUAUGCUCUGAAUGAACUUCUUGGUGGAAAUUAUUUUGUGAAGGACAAAGACAAUAUCAGUAUUAAGAGA